GACGAACGCUGGCGGCGUGCUUAACACAUGCAAGUCGAACGGAAAGGCCCUGCUUUUGUGGGGUGCUCGAGUGGCGAACGGGUGAGUAACACGUGAGUAACCUGCCCUUGACUUUGGGAUAACUUCAGGAAACUGGGGCUAAUACCGGAUAGGAGCUCCUGCUGCAUGGUGGGGGUUGGAAAGUUUCGGCGGUUGGGGAUGGACUCGCGGCUUAUCAGCUUGUUGGUGGGGUAGUGGCUUACCAAGGCUUUGACGGGUAGCCGGCCUGAGAGGGUGACCGGCCACAUUGGGACUGAGAUACGGCCCAGACUCCUACGGGAGGCAGCAGUGGGGAAUAUUGCACAAUGGGCGGAAGCCUGAUGCAGCAACGCCGCGUGCGGGAUGACGGCCUUCGGGUUGUAAACGGCUUUCGCCUGUGACGAAGCGUGAGUGACGGUAAUGGGUAAAGAAGCACCGACUAACUACGUG
rnacentral:rRNA from 1 species